UCAGCAAGCCGGAUGGCCGCUCCGCCAGUAUUGCGUAUCAGGCGGGGAGGAAAGUCCGGGCUCCACGGAAACACGGUGCCGGAUAACGUCCGGCGGGGGCGACCCCAGGGAAAGUGCCACAGAAAGCAAACCGCCCGCCCUCGCUUCGGCCAGGCGGGUAAGGGUGAAAGGGUGCGGUAAGAGCGCACCGCGUCCUUGGCAACAGGGAUGGCAGGGCAAACCCCACCGGGAGCAAGACCAAAUAGGGGUCGCGCGGACGAGCAAUCGUCCAAGUCUGUUUCCAGACAAGCGACCCGGGUUGGUUGCACGAGGCGCUUCGCAAGAUGCGCCCCAGAUGAAUGGCCAUCGUCUCGCAUUGCGAGACACAGAACCCGGCUUACAGGCUUGGUGACAUG
rnacentral:RNase_P_RNA from 1 species